rnacentral:rRNA from 1 species
UGCAAGUCGAACGGCAGCACGGGAGCUUGCUCCUGGUGGCGAGUGGCGAACGGGUGAGUAAUGCGUCGGAACGUACCGAGUAAUGGGGGAUAACGCAGCGAAAGUUGUGCUAAUACCGCAUACGCCCUGAGGGGGAAAGUGGGGGAUCGUAAGACCUCACGUUAUUCGAGCGGCCGACGUCUGAUUAGCUAGUUGGUGGGGUAAAGGCCUACCAAGGCGACGAUCAGUAGCGGGUCUGAGAGGAUGAUCCGCCACACUGGGACUGAGACACGGCCCAGACUCCUACGGGAGGCAGCAGUGGGGAAUUUUGGACAAUGGGGGCAACCCUGAUCCAGCCAUUCCGCGUGAGUGAAGAAGGCCUUCGGGUUGUAAAGCUCUUUCAGCUGGAACGAAACGGUACGCGCUAACAUCGUGUGCUAAUGACGGUACCAGCAGAAGAAGCACCGGCUAACUACGUGCCAGCAGCCGCGGUAAUACGUAGGGUGCGAGCGUUAAUCGGAAUUACUGGGCGUAAAGCGUGCGCAGGCGGAUUGUUAAGCAAGAUGUGAAAUCCCCGGGCUUAACCUGGGAAUGGCAUUUUGAACUGGCAGUCUAGAGUGCGUCAGAGGGGGGUGGAAUUCCACGUGUAGCAGUGAAAUGCGUAGAGAUGUGGAGGAACACCGAUGGCGAAGGCAGCCCCCUGGGAUGACACUGACGCUCAUGUACGAAAGCGUGGGUAGCAAACAGGAUUAGAUACCCUGGUAGUCCACGCCCUAAACGAUGUCAACUGGUUGUUGGGGGAGUGAAAUCCCUUAGUAACGAAGCUAACGCGUGAAGUUGACCGCCUGGGGAGUACGGUCGCAAGAUUAAAACUCAAAGGAAUUGACGGGGACCCGCACAAGCGGU